rnacentral:rRNA from 1 species
UACGUAGGGGGCUAGCGUUGUCCGGAUUUAUUGGGCGUAAAGAGCUCGUAGGCGGUCUGUCGCGUCUGCUGUGAAAACUCGGGGCUUAACCCCGGGCCUGCAGUGGGUACGGGCAGACUAGAGUGCGGUAGGGGAGACUGGAAUUCCUGGUGUAGCGGUGAAAUGCGCAGAUAUCAGGAGGAACACCGAUGGCGAAGGCAGGUCUCUGGGCCACUACUGACGCUGAGAAGCGAAAGCAUGGGGAGCGAACAGG